rnacentral:rRNA from 1 species
GACGAACGCUGGCGGCGUGCUUAACACAUGCAAGUCGAGCGGAAAGGCCACUUCGGUGGUACUCGAGCGGCGAACGGGUGAGUAACACGUGAGUAAUCUGCCCCUGGCUUUGGGAUAGCCACCGGAAACGGUGAUUAAUACCGGAUACGACCACUUCUCGCAUGGGAUGGUGGUGGAAAGUUUUUUCGGCCAGGGAUGUGCUCGCGGCCUAUCAGCUUGAUGGUGAGGUAAUGGCUCACCAUGGCUUCGACGGGUAGCCGGCCUGAGAGGGUGACCGGUCACACGGGGACUGAGACACGGCCCAGACUCCUACGGGAGGCAGCAGUGGGGAAUAUUGGACAAUGGGCGGAAGCCUGAUCCAGCAACGCCGCGUGAGGGAUGACGGCCUUCGGGUUGUAAACCUCUUUCAGUACCGACGAAGCGCAAGUGACGGUAGGUACAGAAGAAGCACCGGCCAACUACGUGCCAGCCGCCGCCGUAACAC